UAAGAAUUAAGCCUUUAGUGGAUUGUCAC
rnacentral:piRNA from 1 species